CUACGGGAUGCUCCAGUGGGGAAUAUUGGACAAUGGGGGAAACCCUGAUCCAGCAAUGCCGCGUGUGUGAAGAAGGCCUGCGGGUUGUAAAGCACUUUCGGUUGGGAGGACUGCUUCUAGCACUAAUAUUGUUGGAAGUUGACGUUACCUUCAGAAGAAGCACCGGCUAACUCCGUGUCAGCGAGCCGCGGUAAUACGGAGGGUGCAGGCGUUAAUCGGAAUUACGGGGCGUAAAGCGCGCGUAGGCGGCUAGAUCAGUCGGGUGUGAAAGCCCCGGGCUUAACCUGGGAACUGCAUCCGAUACUGUCUAGCUUGAGUACAGGAGAGGAGAGUGGAAUUCCACAUGUAGCGGUGAAAUGCGUAGAUAUGUGGAGGAACACCAAUGGCGAAGGCAGCUCUCUGGCCUGAUACUGACGCUGAGGUGCGAAAGCGUGGGGAGCAAACAGGAUUAGAUACCCUUGUAGUC
rnacentral:rRNA from 1 species